UUGAAAGUCAAAAGAAGAUUGCAUAAUCUACAUGCAAGAAUGAUUUAACAAAAUGAAUUAAUAUAGUGCAACUAUUUUUACGAGUAUUCUUAUCCUUAUAGGACUACCAAUUGAAGAAUUUCACAAGUUAUCUGCCAUCAAUUAACAAAAUCCCUUAGUAAAAAUACAUAAUUUUUUAAGAAAGAUGUUGUUUGUCCAUCAAAUCUACAAGGACCUUAGAGUAAGUUGCCACACUCUGGACUUUCUCACAGCAACUCCAUAUUAUACACACAAAGGACAAUACAUGUGUGCAACCUUAUUCUUCACCUAAUCAACCAGCAUAGACAUUUGUAAAUUCUAAAUAUGUUCAACUAAUUGCAUAAUUUUCAUAGGGGCAGAAACAAUUAGCAAAGUAAAUAGCACCCUAUAUUUUGAUAUAGCAGACUUAUCAUUAUAGCAUUUCUCCUUCGAAAGACAAAAGUUAAUUAUCACACUAUACUAACUAAAUAGACCCUUAGUAUCUAAAGCUAAUGAUACAAAUGAAUACAAAGUUUACUUACGAGCAUUCUCCUUCCGCACAGGAUAAUAUUUCCAUGCAUAUCUGAUGAAUGCUUAAUAGGAUCUUGCAACUAACUAUUUUUCGAACUGUACAAUUACAAAUACUUGGUAGCAUAUAGGUCCAAAGCCAACACAUCUCUAAGUUGUACUUUUUGUAGUGCAACAGAAACCAUGAGAGAAACAUAAGACAUUUAAGGGAAGAACUAGAAGUGAUAUCUUGAUAAUUAACUUGAAGGUAGCCUUGAGUGUUUGAAAAAUCCUUUGUUGCUGAUCUGCAGCUCAUGAAAUCAGGCAAGAAUUGAGAAAACCACAUCAAUUUAGUUCAUAUUUGGAAAUGAAUAAAUAAUAGAGAAGGUCAUUGUGUUUAAGAUGCUCUAUUAUGCAUUUUGUCAAACAGUCAGAGGGCAUAAUUUGUGAAUGUAAUAUCACCAUUAGUAUAUUGUGUAAUAGUAACAUUCCCAUACAACUUCCACUCACACAAAUCUAUCUCCAAAUCACCACAUGAUUACAACCACAAAAUAAAAUCACAACAUAGAUUAAGCUUCAAAACCCUAAACUCUCAAUUACUCUGCUACGAAUACAUAUGACACAAGUAAUGUAAUAAAUAAAUAUGAUUGAAUUCCUAUUAGAAAUCAAAACACUCAGCAGAAAGAAGAAAGAAUUCAAAUCUAUUCAAGAGAGAAAAAAAUUCUAACCUGGAGUUAUUCCAAUUCACAGUAGAGGAAGAGAAGGAUUAAGGGAGAAGAGAGUACAUUUCAUACUACUAUUCCUGAAAGUUUUUGAGAUUUAUAGUUGGGACAGAGGAAUUCGGAUGGGAUAGCAAAAUUGGGGAUGCGAAAUGAACUUGAAUUGUUCUAAGAGAAGCUGCGAAAAUAGGUUUUCUUUUUAGGGAUUUGAGAGGAGAUUUGGGUGGGAUGUCUUUGAUAAUUUUUCUUUCUUUUGAAAUUAGUAUUUUCUUUUUUUUGGCAUGUGCUAUACAUAUCACUAAUUAAAUGCCGAUUUCUUCUUAAUUAUGUGAUAUUUUAAAUCAAUUUUCUAUCAUUUUUCAUCAAAUGUUAGUAUUUUUGCACAUUUUUUCUAACAAAUGUCACUAAAUGAACCUUUUUUGAUAUUUAUUAUAAAUAUCAUUAAUUAAAUAUCAUCAUAGUUCAUAUCUCCUGUAGUGGAUCCAGUUAUGAACGGUCUCCAAGGUGAUAUAAG
rnacentral:lncRNA from 1 species